rnacentral:snRNA from 1 species
AAACUUACCUGGCACAGAAGAUACCGUGAUCAGCAAGGCGGUUCUUCCAGGGGGAGGCCCACCAUUGCACCUCGGAUGGGCUGAAGCCUGCGAUUACCCCAAAUGUGGGUAAGUCGGGUGCAUAAUUUUUGUUAGUGGGGAGUUGCGUUCGCGCUUUUCCCUG